rnacentral:tRNA from 1 species
CAGGGUAUAGCUCAGUUUGGUAGAGUGCUACGUCGGGAACGUAGAGGCCGCUGGUUCAAGUCCAGUUAUCCUGACCA